rnacentral:rRNA from 1 species
GACGAACGCUGGCGGCGUGCUUAACACAUGCAAGUCGAACGGAAAGGCCCUGCUUUUGUGGGGUGCUCGAGUGGCGAACGGGUGAGUAACGCGUGAGUAACCUGCCCUUGACUUUGGGAUAACUUCAGGAAACUGGGGCUAAUACCGGAUAGGAGCUCCUGCUGCAUGGUGGGGGUUGGAAAGUUUCGGCGGUUGGGGAUGGACUCGCGGCUUAUCAGCUUGUUGGUGGGGUAGUGGCUUACCAAGGCUUUGACGGGUAGCCGGCCUGAGAGGGUGACCGGCCACAUUGGGACUGAGAUACGGCCCAGACUCCUACGGGAGGCAGCAGGGGGGAAUAUUGCACAAUGGGCGGAAGCCUGAUGCAGCAACGCCGCGUGCGGGAUGACGGCCUUCGGGUUGUAAACCGCUUUCGCCUGUGACGAAGCGUGAGUGACGGUAAUGGGUAAAGAAGCACCGGCUAACUACGUG